AGCUUUAUAUUCAAUUAUGAUGUGAAAUUGCAAAUUUUAAGGUGUAUUACAUAUAUACUAAG
rnacentral:tRNA from 1 species